rnacentral:rRNA from 1 species
UACAGAGGUCUCAAGCGUUGUUCGGAUUCAUUGGGCGUAAAGGGUGCGUAGGCGGCGCGGUAAGUCGGGUGUGAAAUCUUGGAGCUUAACUCCGAAACUGCAUUCGAUACUGCCGUGCUUGAGGACUGGAGAGGAGACUGGAAUUUACGGUGUAGCGGUGGAAUGCGUAGAUAUCGUAAGGAAGGCCAGUGGCGAAGGCGGGUCUCUGGACAGUUCCUGACGCUGAAGCACGAAGGCCAGGGGAGCAAACGGG